rnacentral:rRNA from 1 species
UACGUAGGGUGCAAGCGUUAAUCGGAAUUACUGGGCGUAAAGCGUGCGCAGGCGGUUAUAUAAGACAGUUGUGAAAUCCCCCGGGCUCAACCUGGGAACUGCAUCUGUGACUGUAUAGCUAGAGUACGGUAGAGGGGGGAUGGAAUUCCGCGUGUAGCAGUGAAAAUGCGUAGAUAUGCGGAGGAACACCGAUGGCGAAGGCAAUCCCCCUGGACCUGUACUGACGCUCAUGCACGAAAAGCGUGGGGGAGCAAACAGG